GGAAAAGAUGGUGGAAUGGGAUGGACAUCAUUACCCUAGGUACAUGUAUGUAUGUAUGACUGCACAUAUGGCGCAACACUACAUCAUGUACAACCAGAGAAAUGAAAAGUCAUGCUUCAAUUGUAUACAACAAAUCAAAAUGCAUUCUGCUGUCAUAAAUAUCUAAUUAAAAUAAAUAAAUGAAUUAAAAAUCUUAAAAUAAAAGACAAAACUUGGAGGUUGAGGACUUGAGAGUCUACUGGGUUGGGGGAGGACAAUGCAUUCCCCUCUGACCUUGGUAGAAUGCAGUGACUUGAGCUAGUUGUCUCCUUCCCAGGUCAUUCAGUUUCCUCAUCUGAAAAAUAAGCUUCCAUCCAGAAAUUGUUUUGGCCAGCUUUCUGUUGCUGUCACCAAAACACCUGAACAAUUAGGGAAAAGUUCAUUUUGGUUCACAGUUUCAGAGGUUUAGCUCCUGGUUGUCUGACUCUGUAGCUCUGGGCCUGAGGCAGAAUAUUAUGGGGGGCGGGGCUUGGCAGAGGAAAGCAGCUCAGGAUAUGGCCACCAGGAAAGAGGGGUGGAGCACCAGUGCUCUGCUCACUAGGGAUAAAAUAUAAUCCUUAAAGUCUUGCCCCCAGUGACCUACCUUCUCCAGCCACACUCUAUCUGCUUACAGUUACCACCCAGUUAAUCCAUAUCAGUGGAUUAAUCCAUCGAUCAGGUUACAACUCUCAAUCUAUUCAUUUCACCUAUAAACUUUCUGCCAUUGUCUCAUGCAUGAUCUUUUUUGGGGGGAACCACAUAUCCAAACCAUAACAAUUCCUUUGUAAGCCCUUCUCAAAAUUUUGCUUCUUAAUUACUAAUUCCAAUCCUACCUUUCAGUUAAAAAAAUGAACUUAAUUAUUUUCAGUUCAGCUGGGCACUAAUGGAAACUCGACACACUUCUAAUCACUGAAGCCCUAUUCACACCUGCAUCACAGAAUUCCCCUCCUUUGGUCUUUCUGGAUGAGUAAAGCCUUAUUUUUGGCAAUGCUGGUUUGGGAGUUGCAUCUCUAUAGAAACCACUGCCUAGGUGAACCCUUCCCUGUGACUGAGAAUCCUCUCCACAUUAGCAUGUCAUCUUAAUUGAUAGAACAGGUAUAUCUUUCUAGAUCUCUGAGUUGUUUUGUCAGUUUCCGAGUCAAAUCCUAAAUUAGAUGCAACACCUAAAAAAGCGUGCACACUGAGAGAAGCAUCAGGGUUGUCAUGACAACUGGGAAAUGCCAUGUCUCCCCCAAUAUUAAUUUAACUGUCAUCGUGGGGUUUUACAAACCAAUAAUCAUUAUAUUUUUCAACUUUGAGUAGAAAUGAAGUAACAUUUGG
rnacentral:lncRNA from 1 species